UACGAAGGGGGCGAGCGUUGUUCGGAAUUACUGGGCGUAAAGGGCGCGUAGGCGGUGCAUCAAGUCAGGCGUGAAAGCCCCGGGCUUAACCUGGGAACGGCCGUUGAAACUGGCGAACUGGAGUGUGGCAGAGGGGGGUGGAAUUCCGCGUGUAGCAGUGAAAUGCGUAGAGAUGCGGAGGAACACCGAUGGCGAAGGCAGCCCCCUGGGCUAACACUGACGCUCAGGCACGAAAGCGUGGGGAGCAAACAGG
rnacentral:rRNA from 1 species